rnacentral:misc_RNA from 1 species
AACUUUCAGCAACGGAUCUCUUGGCUCUCGCAUCGAUGAAGAACGCAGCGAAAUGCGAUAAGUUAUGUGAAUUGCAGAAUUCAGUGAAUCAUCGAAUCUUUGAACGCACCUUGCGCUCCUUGGUAUUCCGAGGAGCAUGCCUGUUUGAGUGUCAUUAAUAUAUCAACCUCUUUAAAUUUUGAGAGUGUUUGGAUGUGGGGGUGUUAUUUUUCUGGCCUUCUCCCAAGGUAAGCUCUCCUGAAAUGUAUUAGCGGAAUAAUUUGUUAACCGUUCAUUGGUGUGAUAGCAUAUCUACGCUAUUGACGUGAAGCAAGUUCAGCUUAUAACAGUCCAUUGACUUGGACAAUUAUCUAUUUAUUAAUGUGACCUCAAAGCAGGUAGGACUACCCGCUGAACUUAAGCAUAUCAAUAAGCGGAGGCU